UACGGGGGGGGCAAGCGUUGUUCGGAAUUACUGGGCGUAAAGGGCUCGUAGGCGGCCAACUAAGUCAGACGUGAAAUCCCCAGGCUCAACCUGGGAACUGCGUCUGAUACUGGAUGGCUUGAAUCCGGGAGAGGGAUGCAGAAUUCCAGGUGUAGCAGUGAAAUGCGUAGAUAUCGAGAGGAACACCGGUGGCGAAGGCGGCCAACUGGACGAAUACUGACGCUGAGACUCGAAAGCGUGGGGAGCAAACGGG
rnacentral:rRNA from 1 species